rnacentral:lncRNA from 1 species
GUUAAAGAAUCCUAGUGAUGUUGAGAAGUUUGAGAAGGAGGUUUGUUUUGUUAGAAUUAGAGUUUGGGUUAUUUUUGAGAUUUCUAGGGCUAGGGCAAUUCCUAGGGCGGUUACUACAAUGGCUGUGAUUUUGAUGGAUAGCGGUAUAGUUGUGGGUGGGGUUUUUGUGGGGAUAAUAAAUGAGGUGAUGAGGAAUCCUGCUGUGAUGCUUCCUAGUGCUAGUCGAGUUAGGGGUGAAGUUACUGCGGUAAAGGAUGUGUUUAGGCUUUCGAUGAUUUGGUCUUUUGAGUAGAAUCCUGCUAGGAAGGGGGUUCCUAUUAGGGCGAGGUUGCCAAUGGUGAGGCAGGAGGUGGUUGUGGGUAGUAUUUUUUGUAGGCCGCCUAUUU